UUUACCUCUCCGCCACACGCCGUCCUUCCGCCGGCACGUCGAACGCGUUUCACCGUUUCUACUUGCAUGCACCCGCGGUCCACGCGGCUAGGGUCACCAUCCCUUGGACUAUAACAAUGGUCCAGGGGUUGGACCGUGCUGGACGCGACGGAAAUCAUAUACAGUGACCAGUAGUGUCGUGUAAUUAGGGGAUAAUGCCACGCGAAAAAUGCUACCGUUCAGUGAAUUCACUUCCUUCGAGUUUUGCGUAUGUUCGAACGAAUUCUGUUACGUUUCGCGGCUUUGGUGAUUGGAUGGUAAAUUUCAUCGGGGUAUUUUCGUACGCGGAUUUGGGGAUGAAAGAGAAUGUUUAUUCGUUGGUUCCUUACACUGCCGAAUCGCAAUGGGGUACCAACCCUAAAGAAGACUACACCUACUUUUAAAGAGCAGUUUCGAAAGUGUCCUCUCUGGAAAAUAGGGUUGGUAACACUAUUUGGGCCUAUUCAAGCACGUUACCGUCGAAUGUUUACGGUCCUUGGCAGACGAUUAGACGCCGCUUACCUACGCUCGCUGGUGCUUCUUCCGUCUACCUGGGCGAUCCUCGAAUCGACCUGUGCCCCAAAUAUCGCUGCCUUCGAUCGUGUCGCACCUGCUCCGGCAACCUGUGCUCCGUACCCUUGGUUAACUGACUGGUCGGUUCGUUCGCGGGGGAGUUUUCUCGACGCGGUCACCCCCGCUCGAGGGAUUUGUAAUCGAGGCGGUGCUACAUCCUCAGGAUUUGGGUGCUUCUUCGCCAGGUUAUUGCUGCUCACCGAGGUUGCUCAUCCAGGGAACAAUGCUUGGACGGUUCCUUCGAGGGGGUCCAGGGGGUUCCUCACGCGUUACGAGAGGGCGAAUGGUCCUUGGCGAUUACGGGAACGUUGCUUGGGGAUGGAAACUCUUGGACAGAGCUUUAGACCAACGAUUCGAGGGUGUUUAACUCUUACAGCGAGGGGAUGUACAGUUUGAUGGCGUAGAACUGGUAAAGUUUGAUAGCGAUUAGUGGACUGCGGAUUUUUAUGCGUUUAUAGGAGAAUGUGGAAGAAACACAGUCUAGUGUUUAUAUAGGAUAAACUUAGGCGAAUCUAAAUUUUUCAGAAAUGUUUCCACGAAGCUUUCUGCUCAAAAAGCACGAUAGAGGAAAUGCGCCGUAUGUACCGAGAUAUUAAACGAAUUAACAUCUUCUUCUUGCUCUGCUCUUUGAUUACUUCUUCGAAGCAGAAAGUUUACGGGCUUAUUCAUUAAACAUUAAGUUCAUUAUAUUUUAUAUUACGAACAAGUUAGUUGCGGUAGUGAACGAAGUUUAAUGAAUUCUACUGAACGUUUCCGCCUUAUUAAAUUUACUUUUCAAAAUAAAUACAUUAUGUUUCAAAACAGUGGUAUCAAUUAUUCAUACUCUUAGAAUAGCCCACUUUCAACAUUUCAAUACGUUAAUACCGUUACUCUAGUAAUUGUGUAACGACAGAAUAGUCAAAGUUCAGGUAUCCGUUCUCGUAAUAGAUCCAACCGUACCUCUGCCGUGUUAUAGAGCUGUAUAGACACAUGACUCAGAGACCUCAAUAA